UAUAGAUAUAGUCAGUCUCAGGGUUAGUUAGUAGAGAUAUUAUAGAGAUAGUCAGUCUCAGGGUUAGUUAGUAGAGAUAUUAUAGAGAUAGUCAGUCUCAGGGUUAGGUAGUAGAGAUAUUAUAGAUAUAGUCAGUCUCAGGGUUAGGUAGUAGAGAUAUUAUAGAUAUAGUCAGUCUCAGGGUUAGGUAGUAGAGAUAUUAUAGAUAUAGUCAGUCUCAG